GGGAGUGAAUUAAAAUGAAAAGCGGGGGAUGUGAAGCCUACUUACCUGGUUCUGGAAACACCGAAGGCAGGGUGCAGGUAAAGGGAGUGAAUUAACGCACGCGUGUUGCUUCAGUGUGCAAGUGAAUUAAAAUUCACUUGCACAGAGCCAAUGCUAAUUAAAUUAACAAAGAAGCAAAAGUUUGCUUACCUGGUGCUGGAGACCGAGGACGCUUACAGUGCUGAUGGAUCCUCGCCCGCUGCUUCCCUUUGUCUUCCUUCUGCGCUCACCUGCCUACAUGUUCCUUUUGUUUUCUCAGCAACUUUGAAGCUGAGAAGGUGAUGAAGAGGCCGACCUGCUUUGAAUUGGUUUUGAUUCUGGGUCUUUCUCUGUCUGCAGGGAUGAAAGGCUCGGCGGGUAGAUAACGGGCGGCAGGCUGAGGGUCGACCACCAUUAAGGCGCCCAUUACUGAAGCCAACGGACGACGAUUACUGCUGCAACGUUCGGCGUCCUUUACUGUAGAAAACGGUCAUUGGGUUAAAGGCGAAGAAGAUGAACAGCGUCUUCAAAACGACGUCGUUCGGCCAUUUGUCCUUUUGAUCCAUGCAGUUUUGAAAGUCUUGUAAUUAAACCCCUGGUUUAAACUGUAAUUGGCCCCCUGCAUUUGCGCGCCUUUUUAAUGUAGUCCUUGGAUUUUAAUUUCGCAA